AGAACCUUACACCUGACCAAUCAGGAAUAACUACUUAGUCCAACAACAACAGCCUCUCCGGCAGGCUGCCCAGAACGUGUUCGAACCCUCUAACGGAUCUGUCUAAUUCAGUAUGGCCGAAUUUGUUUUCUAAGCAUGGACGUCUCUAUGCGGGUUGCCCCCACAACCUUAGCCCAGGCUUAGCCAGAGCAGGAAGAUGUAAUUCUCUAUUUGACGAGGGUGGAGAGAACGGGAUGGAAAAACAAAAACAAAAACAAAAACAACAACAACAACAACAACAAAAACCCAAGAGUUUUCAGGCCCUGGCUGCUGGGUCAGAACCUGGGAGCCCUGGUCCCAUACUCCUCAUGACCCCAUCUUUCAAGUUCCUGCCCAGGACAAGGCAGAACCUGUUUCCAAAGAUCCUAUUUCCCUUGCAGGGAUGAAAGGGAGAGAGAGAGAGCUCUAUCUGUUUUAGCUGGGUCCCUUGUUUUCUUUCUAAUGGAUGCAGAGAUAUAAAGGAAGGUAUUUCACCAUUUCUUCCACCACCUUUGCAAAAGAUUUUCGACUUUCGGGGUUUUGACUGGCAGUAGAUGAGAGUUAACUCUUACACCUCUUAUACUGUUUCGCAGCGAUAAACAAAGCAAAAGGAAAGACGGGCCAAAGCAGACCGACGCCACUUCCAAGAGCGGUAGCUGGAUUUCGUUUGCUUUUAUUUUUCGCCUCCUUUUUUUUUUUUAAUUGUUUUGCCUGAGAUGUCCACCGCCCAAUGGCACAUCGAAGUCUUGGGUUAAUUGCGAAGGCUUCCUUCUCUCCGCUGCGGCUUUGGCGGAAGCUCAGAACUGCCUCCUCCCUGGCUUUCAAUUCAGUGCGGGAGGUUUUCUUUCUCCUUGCUAAUCCAGAGAAGGAGGGAAGAGGAGGGGAGACGCGGGGAAUACACUCGUUCCCGUUGUUACUUGAGGCUAAUGUUUGUUUUAUGGAGUGACUCUUUAUUCUGACUACCUCUUCAUUUUCUUUCCCUACCCCAAACCUGGCAAGUUAGGGGAAAAAAAAAAAAAGCAGCUAGGGAGGGGCCUAAGACAGGACAGGACUGCUUUGUUCUCCCUCCAAAGAAGCUAAAGGGUAGAACUGGUGAGCUUUUUGUUCGAUUGUUUUAAUUAAAAGCGGAUAUUAAGGGUGAUGGUGAUGAUGACGAAGGUAUUAACAAUCGCAGUAAAAGGGGAAAACGCGAUCCUUCUUGUCCAGCUAAGGUGGCCCUGAAGCGGUCCUUCCAACCCUCUCCCAACCACCGCGGACGCACCCGCGAAACUGACCAGAAAUAGGCGAAACCCAGGGGCAGCGCGAAUCCAGGCCUGGCGCUGCGGGCGGGAAGACGCUGGCCUCAGCGAGCGCGGCUCAUCUUCCAGAUUAGAAGAUUCCCCCCGCACACACCAGGGGACCCCCGCAACACCAAGGCACAGACAGCCUCCGGACAGAGCUGCCGCCCACUGGGCUCUGUCCGCCCAUCCGAGCCAACACUGGCUCCCGAAUACAUCAUAAUUUGGAAUAAAAUGUGAAAUCCCA